GAUGAACGCUGGCGGCGUGCCUAAUACAUGCAAGUCGAGCGAACGGACGAGAAGCUUGCUUCUCUGAUGUUAGCGGCUGACGGGUGAGUAACACGUGGAUAACCUACCUAUAAGACUGGGAUAACUUCGGGAAACCGGAGCUAAUACCGGAUGAUAUUUUGAACCGCAUGGUUCAAAAGUGAAAGACGGUCUUGCUGUCACUUAUAGAUGGAUCCGCGCUGCAUUAGCUAGUUGGUAAGGUAACGGCUUACCAAGGCAACGAUGCAUAGCCGACCUGAGAGGGUGAUCGGCCACACUGGAACUGAGACACGGUCCAGACUCCUACGGGAGGCAGCAGUAGGGAAUCUUCCGCAAUGGGCGAAAGCCUGACGGAGCAACGCCGCGUGAGUGAUGAAGGUCUUCGGAUCGUAAAACUCUGUUAUUAGGGAAGAACAUAUGUGUAAGUAACUGUGCACAUCUUGACGGUACCUAAUCAGAAAGCCACGGCUAACUACGUG
rnacentral:rRNA from 1 species